rnacentral:rRNA from 1 species
AGUGAACGCUGGCGGUAGGCCUAACACAUGCAAGUCGAACGGCAGCACAGUAAGAGCUUGCUCUUACGGGUGGCGAGUGGCGGACGGGUGAGGAAUACAUCGGAAUCUACUUUUUCGUGGGGGAUAACGUAGGGAAACUUACGCUAAUACCGCAUGCGACCUACGGGUGAAAGCAGGGGAUCUUCGGACCUUGCGCGAUUGAAUGAGCCGAUGUCGGAUUAGCUAGUUGGCGGGGUAAAGGCCCACCAAGGCGACGAUCCGUAGCUGGUCUGAGAGGAUGAUCAGCCACACUGGAACUGAGACACGGUCCAGACUCCUACGGGAGGCAGCAGUGGGGAAUAUUGGACAAUGGGCGCAAGCCUGAUCCAGCCAUACCGCGUGGGUGAAGAAGGCCUUCGGGUUGUAAAGCCCUUUUGUUGGGAAAGAAAAGCAGCAGGUUAAUACCCCGCUGUUCUGACGGUACCCAAAGAAUAAGUACCGGCUAACUUCGUG